GGUGUUGUUUUACAGGGUCAGUCAUAGUAGUAUGAUAGGUGUUGUUUUACAGGGUCAGUCAUAGUAGUAUGAUAGGUGUUGUUUUACAGGGUCAGUCAUAGUAGUAUGAUAUGUGUUGUUUUACAGGGUCAGCCAUAGUAGUAUGAUAGGUGUUGUUUUACAGGGUCAGCCAUAGUAGUAUGAUAGGUGUUGUUUUACAGGGUCAGCCAUAGUAGUAUGAUAGGUGUUGUUUUACAGGGUCAGUCAUAGUAGUAUGAUAGGUGUUGUUUUACAGGGUCAGCCAUAGUAGUAUGAUAGGUGCAGUGAAAUGUGUUGUUUUACAGGGUCAGCCAUAGUAGUAUGAUAGGUGUUGUUUUACAGGGUCAGACAUAGUAGUAUGAUAGGUGUUGUUUUACAGGGUCAGCCAUAGUAGUAUGAUAGGUGUUGUUUUACAGGGUCAGCUAUAGUAGUAUGAUAGGUGCAGUGAAAUGUGUUGUUUUACAGGGUCAGCUAUAGUAGUAUGAUAGGUGUUGUUUUACAGGGUCAGCUAUAGUAGUAUGAUAGGUGUUGUUUUACAGGGUCAGUCAUAGUAGUAUUAUAGGUGUUGUUUUACAGGGUCAGCUAUAGUAGUAUGAUAGGUGCAGUGAAAUGUGUUGUUUUACAGGGUCAGCUAUAGUAGUAUGAUAGGUGUUGUUUUACAGGGUCAGCCAUAGUAGUAUGAUAGGUGUUGUUUUACAGGGUCAGCUAUAGUAGUAUGAUAGGUGUUGUUUUACAGGGUCAGCUAUAGUAGUAUGAUAGGUGUUGUUUUACAGGGUCAGCCAUAGUAGUAUGAUAGGUGUUGUUUUACAGGGUCAGCCAUAGUAGUAUGAUAGGUGCAGUGAAAUGUGUUGUUUUACAGGGUCAGACAUAGUAGUAUGAUAGGUGUUGUUUUACAGGGUCAGACAUAGUAGUAUGAUAGGUGUUGUUUUACAGGGUCAGCCAUAGUAGUAUGAUAGGUGUUGUUUUACAGGGUCAGCCAUAGUAGUAUGAUAGGUGUUGUUUUACAGGGUCAGUCAUAGUAGUAUGAUAGGUGUUGUUUUACAGGGUCAGCCAUAGUAGUAUGAUAGGUGUUGUUUUACAGGGUCAGCCAUAGUAGUAUGAUAGGUGUUGUUUUACAGGGUCAGUCAUAGUAGUAUGAUAGGUGUUGUUUUACAGGGUCAGCCAUAGUAGUAUGAUAGGUGUUGUUUUACAGGGUCAGCCAUAGUAGUAUGAUAGGUGUUGUUUUACAGGGUCAGCCAUAGUAGUAUGAUAGGUGUUGUUUUACAGGGUCAGCCAUAGUAGUAUGAUAGGUGUUGUUUUACAGGGUCAGCCAUAGUAGUAUGAUAGGUGUUGUUUUACAGGGUCAGCCAUAGUAGUAUGAUAGGUGUUGUUUUACAGGGUCAGUCAUAGUAGUAUGAUAGGUGUUGUUUUACAGGGUCAGCCAUAGUAGUAUGAUAGGUGUUGUUUUACAGGGUCAGCCAUAGUAGUAUGAUAGGUGUUGUUUUACAGGGUCAGACAUAGUAGUAUGAUAGGUGUUGUUUUACAGGGUCAGCCAUAGUAGUAUGAUAGGUGUUGUUUUACAGGGUCAGCGAUAGUAGUAUGAUAGGUGUUGUUUUACAGGGUCAGCCAUAGUAGUAUGAUAGGUGUUGUUUUACAGGGUCAGUCAUAGUAGUAUGAUAGGUGUUGUUUUACAGGGUCAGUCAUAGU